rnacentral:rRNA from 1 species
GGAUUAGAUACCCUGGUAGUCCUAGCUGUAAACGAUGGAUACUAGACGUAGGAAUUGGAUUAACGAUUUCUGUGUCGUAGCUAACGCGUUAAGUAUCCCGCCUGGGGAGUACGGUCGCAAGACUAAAACUCAAAGGAAUUGACGGGACCCCGCACAAGCGGCGGAGCAUGCGGCUUAAUUCGAAGAUACGCGCAGAACCUUACCAACACUUGACAUGGUCGUCGCGACUUUAAGAGAUUAAAGUUUUCGGUUCGGCCGGACGAAACACAGGUGCUGCAUGGCUGUCGUCGCUCGUGCCG